AAAUAAUUCAUUACAUCUCACAGUAUAUUGGUAAACUGCAUCAUUCAUAGGAUGCUAGUAUAGAUGAAAUAAAACCACCAAAACAAUUAAUAAGAUUCCUGUGUUAUUUUAAUAAAACAAAAAAACGCGUAUUUUUGUUUAAUAGAUUAAAGUUCAUCAAGAAAGAUGUCCUUAAGUUUUUUGUAUCUUUCAAAUAAUAUCAACAGAGUACACACUAUGAUGAGCAAACACACGGAUCAAGUUCUGUUAAAAAGGAAAAUCGAUGUUAUUUUAUGUAUAAUUUUUGUGAUAUUAUUUUUAACAUUUCUUUUUGAAUAUUUACAUGAUUUUUUAUCAAAAAAAGUUAAAGCGCAUAGUCAUUUACUCAAGGAAACGUUUGAAGCGUUAUUUAAAGAAUUAAUGGUGUUGGGUUUUAUUUCCUUACUUUUAUUUUUUCUAACAAGAGUCGGCAUUACUCAGCGAUUGAAUGAUAUGAUUUUCGGUGAAGAUAAAAUAGAAGUAGCUGCAAAAAAAGAAUUAAAAGAAGAAGGAAAAUCACUUGUCUUAGCGCCCACUGUACUAUAUGAAUUGUUUGAGAAUAUUCAUAUUUGUAUUUUUCUAAUAAUGACCCUUUUUAUUGCCAUCGUGAUUUUCCUUAUUGUUGUUGCUAUGCGUCAAAGUUUUCAGUGGAAAAAGUUUCAAAAUCAUACAAUACGUGAAAAACAAAUAGCAAUAGAAAAUGAUUCAUGUACCACGGAGGAACUAGAAUUUUGGAUUAUUCACAAAAGAUUUUUAAAUCCGACAACUCCUUUUUCCUAUGUACCAAAUAAUCCAAGUGAUUUUCCAUUUCAUGAAUAUCUUAGCGAAAAAAUGAAUUCAAAUCUUUUACAGAUGGUGGAAAUACCAUACUUCACGUGGAUCACACUUUUUCUAAUAGCCAUCAUACUACGGCCUGUAUUAGAUUUUUCGGUUAUAUAUCGCCUAGCUUUCGUAGAUUACUGCGCUGUAUGUGUAUGUAUAUUUUCUAUUGCUCUUUCUAUAAAAUUAAGAAGCAUUAAAAGAAAACUACGCCCAAGUAUUGAUAAUGUUCAGCGUUUUUUAUUAUACAUUGGUAACGGAGAUGAGACCGUAACAGCGGGAAUGGCACCCAUUGAUACGUUAGAUUUCAUUAUGAAGAACAAUCUUUUUGGAAAAUGUUUCCAACAGAGAGAAUAUAUAAAUCGGCAAGAAAAAUUAUUCCCCUUUGGGUGUAAAGGACCUCACUAUCUUUUGUACUGCAUUCAAUUAACAUUGUUUCUUCAUGUUAUAGUAUGUACAAUGAUUUGCCGAAUGCUUCUUUCUCUUUAUUCGCAUAAGGAUUUCGGCGCAUUCCCUUUAUGGAUCAUGCAUCUAUUAUGUUUGGGUGUCUGCAUUGUCUGCUUUUUGAUGCUCUGGCCUGUGAUACUUCGAGAUUUCACUCUUUGUACUAGUAUUGAAUUGUUUACGGAUAAAAUCGUUAUAAAAAAGAUUGAGAAAGAAGUUGAAGAGAGAAAAUGGAAAAAAAAUAAACAGAUACUUUUUUGCUUAAAAGAGAUUUUUGAGCAAAGUGAGAAAGCUAAGAGUGAAGAAUCCAUGAAAGCGCUGAUAGAGAAGGGUCGUUUAUGGAUUAAAAGUUUGCCUGACCAAGAUUACAAAUGUUAUUUAAGUCUUUUUCACAAUUUUUGCGAAAAAAAUGGUCGAAUAAGUCAGAAAAGCCUGUUUCGUUUAUUGAAGCGUUUAAAGCUCAAACACUGUCAUUUGCCGCAGGAUCUUUUAAAUAGAUGGUACGAUAAUGUGUCGCUUUUAAAUUCAAUGAGCUCAGGACUAAAUCAUACGCAAUUUUUAACAUUUUUGGGUAUGCUAUUCUCUUAUGAAGAAAGGUUUCAAAAUGAUGACGGAAAAGAGAUGUUUGAAUUACUUGAUAUUCACGGAGAAGGGUAUGUCACGUUGGAUGAUUUCGAAGAAGCAUUCUCUAGUUUUAAAAACGUUUUUGAUGCAUCUGAUAUCAAACAACUUUUUUUUGAUAUCACUCAACAACAAGGAAAAAUAAUGACACAAAAAAUGUUUGAAACAUGGGUAUCUCAGGUCACGGUGGAAACAUCCCAAUCUGAUACGCUUUGAACGUCUUUUGUUUUAAAAUUAUAUUUAAUUUUCAUAGAAAGACAUUGUGAAAGACACUUCAAAGAAGCUUCUUCGUUUUUCUUUUCUUCUUUUUUGGGAGUACGUACAAUACCUUGAAUAUGCGGGGACAGACCAAAACCACCCAGUGAUCGUAAUCCCUGUGAUGCAUUGAAAAUACUAGGAUAAACAAGAGGUACAGACUCG